GGACCUGGCUACUCUUUCCCUUAUCUCUGUGUUUGUAAUGCCUCUGUAUGGCACCCAUCACAUGUGAAGACAUCUGUCAAGUUAUGGUAGAUGGUGGAUGGUGAGCUCGUUGAGGGCAGGACUCAUAUUUCUUUGUGUCCUCAGGGCUUAGCAGAAUUUUUGUCAUGUAUUAAGCACUCAGUGAAUGAAUCAAAAAACCAAAACACCAAACUAGUUUCCUGCCAUUCCUUCUGAUUUGAAAAUUAUUGUUAUUACCCCAUCAAAAUUUCCCCUUGGAAAACAAGUCUUGAUUCCUAAGACAUAGAUACAGUGUCACCAGGUUCAGGGAUGCCGUGUUUAUCAGUUCCGUAGGGCUGCAGUAAUACGUUAUCGCAGAUUGGGUGACUUAACUUUAUUUCCUCGUAGUUCUGGCAACUAGAAUUCUGACAUUAAGGAGCUGGCAAGGCUGUGUUCCCAUUGCAGGUCCUAAGGAAGAAUCUUUUCCUUUCUCUUGAGCUUCUGGUGGCGGCUGGUGAUCUUGGCAUUCCUUGUCUGGCAGCGGCAUGACUUCAGUGUCUGCCCCCAUCACAGCACAGCUGCCUUCUGUCUGUGUGUGUCUGUGUCCCAAUUUCCCUCUUCUCUAAAAGGCACUGGUCAUUGGAUUGAGGGCCCUCAGUCAGUAGGACCUUACCUUCACUUGAUAACAUCUGCAAUGACCCUAGUUCCAGUUAAGGUCACAUUCACAGGUAUGGGAGAUGAGACUUGAAUGUAUUUUGCAGGACACAGUACAACCCACAGUAGCACUUUGACCUCUUAUCAUGGAAUCUUGACUCCUUAACUCCUCAGCCUCUCCUCGCAAUGGUUGUCCAGCCCCUGCUUUAGUGCCCCUAGCAUGGGGAAGUUACUUCCUCCAGAGACAAAUUUUCUAUAUUUGGGUGGCAGCUUCGGGAGAAUUUUUUCUUUAAUUGGACCCAACUCUGCCUCCCUGCCAUCUCCUUCAUUCAGCAAUCAAGGUGAACGUGGAAUAAUGUUUCCUCCUCUAGGGGGAGGAAGGAGGUGCUUUCAGGUUUUGAAGGUGAUGCUCGUAGCCUUCAGGGCUUUUCUUGUCUAGAUCUUCCCAUUUUCUUCAAGUCUUCGUUCAGAUAUAGUUUCAUUACUAACCUUCCUCCUCCUUAUGGAACUUGUUGAUUGUCAGUAUAUUGGGUAAAACGAAAUGAGAAUAUUCCAGGUAUGGUGUGGGCACAGAUCAAAGCAGACACACCUACUUCUGGGGAAUCCACUUCUUUUCAUGCAGCUUCAGCCACAUGAUCUUCGUGGCCCACACACCCUUGAGACAUUUGAAUGAUUUUGUGUGUGUGUGUGUGUCUUUUUAGGGCGCACCCGCGGCAUAUGGAGGUUCCCAGGCUAGGGGUCGAAUCGCAGCUGUAGCCUCUGGCCUAUGCCAGAGCUCCAGCAACACCAGAUCCGAACUGCAUCUGCAGACUACACCACAGCUCACGGCAAUGCCAGAUCCUUAACCCGCUAAGCGAGGCCAGGGAGCGAACCCGAAACCUCAUGGUUCCUAGUCGGAUUCGUUUCCAAUACACCAUGACGGGAACUCCCUGAAUGAUUCUUGAUUGCAUGUGGUACUGCUCUGAUCUUUUCAUUUAGCAUUUUGACCCUUAGUGGAGGGCCUGGCCUUAUGUGAUUAAACUUCUCAUGGUUGCACUUGACCUGUGGCCCCAGCCUAUGGAAAUAGCUGUAUCAUGGAGUUGUCAUCACACAUUGGGUGAUAAUGGACUGUGAUGGUGGAGGGUUGUAGGAGAGCCUGUCACUAGAAGUGGGACUUGUUAGAAGUCACUGUGCUGCUUCUCUGUUCCCAGAUAGCUGAUCAGAAUGGAACCCAGAUGUGAUUUGGGGCUUUCAGGGCUUUCUACGGCUUCUCUGAUUUGCUGCUGAGGUGGAGGACACUUCCAUCAUACCACUGGGUGGCAGGACUGCUCCCAUACUUGGGCGCUAGACUCAGACUCUGAUGGCCCCCCGUCUUUCCAUUUGAAUGAAUUUACACAGAUGAAUAAAUGACCACCUUCGAUGAUCAGAACUGGAAGGGGCUUGGAGAUGAUAACCUAGGGGGGUGUAGGGUUUGGAUUAAGAACAUGAGGCUGGAAAUCCGGCAGAUUUGUACUCCUGGCUCAGUUAGCAGACAUUUGGUCCUGUCCAAAAUGUUCAUAAAACAUGUGGCCCAUGCCAAAAGGUUUUUGAUCUUCAACCACAUUGGGUCCUGUCAAAAUGUCCAUGGAGAUGGCGAUCUUUGACCCACCCCUAAAGGUUCUUGAUGUCCGGUCCUGUCUGAAACUGACGCGGAACACAUAUGCUCAUGGAUGUUUUGAACAGGUCCGAAGUUCAAGGACCUUUUGGCGUGGACCAAGGGAUGUCUUACAGACGUUUUGGACAGGACCACAUGUCCUGUGAGACCUGGCUCUACCUCUUGCUUGUGACUUUGGAAAAAUUACUUUGUUAAAUGGAAUUAAUAAUAGUAUCGACUCAGAGGGUUGUUAUAAUUAAAUGAGCUAAUAGUAUUCAUUUAAUUCUGGCUAAAUUGCCGUCAGGAAGGGAAGCUGGGGCUCAGAGAAGUGGGUGAGUUGCCCAAGGUCAUUUGGUGUGGGCUACCCCAAAGUAGAAAUAAAGUUCAGCCUUUUGGUUUUUAGUUCAAGGCACUUUUCUUUAACCUGCUCCAGCACUUCAGAAAUCAUCAGCUUAUUUAUUUACCCAUCUGCUUUUGUUUGCAGAAUAAAGAGAAAUAAAAUUAGUAUUUCAAACCUUCCUCCACCAGAACAUUGAUUGUGUCUCUCUGUCGUGUCUAUGGAUUGAUUUCAGAUGUAUCUGGAUUACUUGUGGGACAUGACUGUCAGGGACAUAAGGGAAGAGGUUGCCCCAGACCUUGGUAAUGUCACCUGCUUGUGCUGGGAUGGUCCUGGCAGUGCUGGCCCCUGGGCCAGGCAGGCAGACAGGGCACAGAGGUUAUCUGUGCACACUCAGCUACUGCCUGCAUCCUGAGGCCACGUUCUUUCCAUUUCAUAUGCAAUGUGAACUAUAUUUUCUCUCAAUUUCCUGUGAAUUGGAGAGGUGCCGUGUGCCAGCUUUCCUAAAUUGCCACAAUCAAUAUUCUACUGCCUUUAUUUUUUAUGCAUGCUAAUGAGUUUGCUCCUUUUCAAAUGCACUUGUUUCCCAAAUCAGUCUUUGCAACAUUAAAAAAUAACUAAAUAAAAUAACUAGAAAAGCAAAGCCCACUACAGCACCAUGAGUUUCUGCCCAGAGUUUUAUGGCGUGAAAACUCUGCAGGAGAGACCCUGGCUGGCCUCUCUGGGCCAGACAAGAAAGAGUGAAGAGAGUUAGCGAGGUUUUGGCUCAGGGAAGUACUUGGCUUUGUGAGCAGCAGCUUGAAGGCCUGUGCUACAUUCACUGGCUUCAAGCAUCAUUCUCUCCCUCUGCCUCCCCACACUCACCCUGUCCCCAGCUGAAUUGCUUUCUAACAGGGCCUAUGUGAGUUUGAGGAUACCAAAGAGGGCUCCUGACAUUGGCUGGUAGACUUCCAGCCCUAUUUAUGCCGAAUUAGGUGUAUUUGCUUUCCCAGAUAUCUUGGAUUUCAUUGUGCAUUAUCUCUGCCUAGGUUUUCUUUUCUUUCUUUUUUUUUUUUGGAUGGGGGGUAGACCCACACCUACGGCAUACAGAAGUUCCCGUGCUGGGGGUCGAAUCAGAGCUGUAGCCGACAGCCUAUGCCACAGCCACAGCAACACUGGAUCCGAGCCGUGUCUGUGACCUACACCACAGCUCAGGGCAAUGCCAGAUCCUUAGCCCACUGAGCAAGGUCGGUGAUCGAACCUGUGUCCUCAUGGAUUCCAGUUGGGUUCUUAACCCACUGAGCCACAAUGGGAACUCCAUGCCUUAGUUUUCUUUACUCAUCUUGCAUUUAGAACAAAGAACCCUUCACUGGUGUGACUCUUCAUCCUCCACCUGUGGUGUCUACUCUGGCCCCUACUCAGCAAUUACCUAUUUGGGGAUUUUAUUUUCUGUAAUACCUCCCAUUACUUAAGGAUGAGGUCAAAUGAUGUCUUUGUCCUGAAGCCUCUGAUUUCUGUUUUUAUUCAUUGUUUUCCAUUAACAUUUCAUUGAGUCCCUGACAUGCGCUUGGUGCUGUGGAUGAAACACUGAGGAAAAUGACAAUCACCACCCAUGGCCUUUAGAUCCCACUCUAGGGAGAGAGUGAAAAAAAUAUAUGCACAGGGUGUCAGAUGCUGGAGCAGGGAUGGGGUUGUCAUUUGGUCCCAUGAUCCAGGGGGAGGCCAUCACCUGAGUUGGGAUCUGAAGAUAAAAGUGCUGUCUUCUAGGACCAACCUCCCUCAGUCACCCUCUCAGCUCCAUUGUGGGCAGGAACCAUUUGGGGCGGGGCGGGGGGGGAAGGAGGGAGAAAGAAAGAAAUGGAGAACGUGUAUCUGUGUCUUGCCCUGCCGUCUACCACUGUGUCUCGUGGUGCUUAAUUAAGGACUUGGGAGUGAUGACUUUGUAGUGGUGACCGGGCUUGUUUUUCCACAUGAUGUGGAAAAAAAUGGAAGGAGAGCGUGCAAUGUAUGUGGUGCUGGUGACUUGGGGUCUGGAGUCCCACGAGGUCUUUGGUGUCCACAGGGGCAGAAGACCACUGAUGCAGACAUAAGUCUGCGCUCUCUUGUGGCCUCAGGUCCCAUGGGCUCUUCUGGUGCUUGCAUUAAAAUAUGUUGCUCCGACCAUUUGGGUGAGUGUAGGGAUUUCCAAGGCUGCUUUUAAUGUAUCUGAUUUUUGCCCGUCGACUUUGGAAGGAAUGGAUUUCCUGAUGUGAUGCAUUCCUGUCUUUUCCCAUGUCACAGGGGGAGGAAACUGCCUCAGAGGGAGGGACGUCCCUCCCCUCUCGGCAUGAGGGCUGGAGGGAGAACUCAUCCCAUGUCUCCCUCCCCUGCAUCCAGGGCUUUUUCCUCCUCAGCCUCAUUUCUGUCAUCUCUCAGGGAUUGUGGACACGUGGAUUAGCCCUGCGUCUGGGAGGAAAGGAGCCCAGGAGCCAGGCAAGAUGCACAGGUUGGAUGGCUUAAUCCUAGAAUGGAUUUCCUUUGAGUCUUCCGCCAGCUCUGGGCUGCCUCGGGCUCCUCCUGGCCUGGGUUGGAGACACCUGUUUAGAAAUCUGUAGCUCCUUCUCCUCUGGCAUCUGUAUAAUGAAUUCCAACUCACUUUGAAUGCUCUCUGGGCUUGGCUGUAGUUCUUUAAAGCCCAUCUUCCACAUGGAAUUGGCAGGUUCACGGAAUUGUUUGGGAGCCGGAUAAAAACGCUUUGUUCUUUGUUCCUCCGCUCUGCCAUCUCAGAAUAUUCCUUCUCCCGCAGAUUGCUGGGACCAUUCGGUUUUGGCCUUCAAUUCAUUCUCUCUGAGCAGAUCUGCCCAUUUAUAUUCCAAGGCCUGUUCUUUUGGAUUACACAUGUAGGAUAUUAGUUAGGUUUCUUUCUUUAUUCCUGUUUCGUUUAUGCCUUUCCUUUUUCUUCCUUCAUAUCUCUUCCCUGGUAAAAAGUGUGCAGUCGUGGUCGCUGUAAUGAAAUGCAAGUACCACUUUUUCGUCUUUGUCCGCUGUAGCAUGAGUUUUUCAUUAAUGUGCUUAGUUUUUUUCCUUAUGGGUGGCGGUGUUGAUGAUGAUGUCAUCAUUAAGUUUUUUCUUCUCUAAUUACUUCCUACAUGAAGAUAUCACAUAGGCAGCAGAUGAUUGGUGGACAAGAGUAACAGCUAGGAAACCAUGCUCCAAGACUUCAGAAAAUGGGCCAGAUGCAAUGCCUGGGGCUGGGGUAGAGCUGGGAAAAAGGUCUUGCCUCGUGGUGCUUACGAGUCUGGAUUUCUCUGUGUUUCCUCCCUUCUCCUGUGACAUAGGCAUUGUGAGCCUCACUGAACCCGGAGAAAACUGAGACACAGAGAGUUCAAGUGAUUUGUAUGAGCUCACACCGUUAAAAAGGGUGGGAGCUGGAUGUUCAAGCCAAGUGCAAAGGCUGCAGAGCUUGUGCUAAAAGAAGGUAUCCUAUGUCCGACCCCCUGAAACCUGUCCUCUGAUAAGACACGGUGGGGGCAGCUCCUCCUGAGUGCAGUCGGAGGCUCUCCCAAGUCCCUUUAUUCUGAGUGUAGGUCUCUGGAAUCUGUUUUGCUUUAUAGCUUCCCCAAAGCUCCAUUUUCUACCCUGUAAAUGGAAGGGGAUGGAGAAGGGGAAAAGGAGGGAGAGAGAGAGAGCGGGAGAGGAGGUCACUGUUCAAGAGAACACGUUCUGGCAUCAACAGACCCAGUACAGAGUCCUGGCACUGCUGCAUUUUGACUCUGUGGUCUUAGCAGCUCAGUUUCCUUAUUUGUAAAAUGGAAAUGAUAGUGCUUGCCUGAAAGUUCAUUUGAGGAUUUUAUGUAUGUAUGUAUGUAUUUUUCUAAUUUACUGUUUAUUUAUUUAUUUAUUUGUCUUUUUAGGGCUGCACUUAUGGCAUAUAGAAGUUCCCAGGCUAGGGGUCAAAUCAGAGCUGGAGCUGCUGGCCUGCACCACAGCCACAGCAACACAGGAUCCAAGGCAAGUCUGCGACCUACACCAUAGAUCAGGGCAAUGCCAGAUCCUUAACCCACUGAGCAAAGCUAGGCAUCACACCUGCGUCUUCAUGGGUACUAGUCAGGUUUGUUACUGCUGAGCCACAAUGGGAACUCCAUAUUUUUUAAAAAAUUUUUUUAUUAAGGUAAGUUGAUUUACAGUGUUCCUUCAAUUCUGAGGCUUUAAUUUAAAAUAAAAAUAAAAAAAACAAAACAAAAACAGAAAUGUGAAUUCCCUGGAUACCUAGCAGUUAAGGAUCUGGUAUUGUCACUGCUGUGGUGAGGGUUUGAUCCCUGGCCAGGAGAAUUCUGCAUGCCACUGGUGCAACCAAAA
rnacentral:lncRNA from 1 species